rnacentral:rRNA from 1 species
AUGACUCAAGAGAACACCAAAUUGUGUGAUUUCUCAAAUACCAACAACAACGGUUUUAUUAGCACUCCGCUUGCUCCUCCCACCACUAGUGCUGAGUCUUGUGAUAUUAAUAUUGCUUUGCUGAAUCUUGUUAUGAAACAUCAAUUUUCUGGUACUCCUAAUGAGGAUGUCGCGUCCCAUCUUAAUACCUUCGUGGAAUUAUGCGAUAUGCAAAAGAAAAAAGAUGUGGACAAUGAUGUUGUUAAGAUGAAAUUAUUUCUGUUUUCCGUGCGUGAUUCUGCAAAAAAUUGGUUCUCUUCUUUGCCUCGCAUAGUAUCGAUUCUUGGAAUAAGUGCAAAGAUGCUUUUAUCACUAAGUAUUUUCUGCCCGCAAAAAUUAUUUCCCUUAGAACCCAGAUCAUGA